rnacentral:rRNA from 1 species
GUGCGCAGCUGAGCACGCAACGCCGCGUGGAGGAUGAAGGUCUUCGGAUUGUAAACUCCUGUUGCCCGGGACGAAGGGCUCCGGCCUAAUACGUCGGAGUGUGACGGUACCGGGUGAGGAAGCCCCGGCUAACUCUGUGCCAGCAGCCGCGGUAAUACAGAGGGGGCAAGCGUUGUUCGGAAUUACUGGGCGUAAAGGGCGCGUAGGCGGCCUGCUAAGUCUCACGUGAAAUCCCCGGGCUCAACCCGGGAACUGCGUCCGAUACUGGGUGGCUUGAAUCCGGGAGAGGGAUGUGGAAUUCCAGGUGUAGCGGUGAAAUGCGUAGAUAUCUGGAGGAACACCGGUGGCGAAGGCGGCAUCCUGGACCGGUAUUGACGCUGAGGCGCGAAAGCCAGGGGAGCAAACGGGAUUAGAUACCCCGGUAGUCCUGGCCCUAAACGAUGAAUGCUUGGUGUGGCGGGUAUCGAUCUCCUGCCGUGCCGAAGCUAACGCAUUAAGCAUUCCGCCUGGGGAGUACGGUCGCAAGGCUGAAACUCAAAGAAAUUUUGACGGG